rnacentral:rRNA from 1 species
UCGACCUGAGAUUAGAUAAGAUUACCCGCCGAAUUUAAGCAUAUUAAUAAGCGGAGGAAAAGAAAACAACUGUGAUUCCCUUAGUAAUGGCGAAUGAAACGGGAUCAGGCCAUCGUGAAACUGCAGGGCAUCUUGUCCUUGUGGAAUGUCACGUUCGGGAUAGUCUUCUCGAGGAGCUGACUGCCAGUCAAAGUCCAACUUGACAGUGGCCACUGCCCAUAGAGGGUGAUAGGCCCGUAAGGCGGCGGUCUCUUCUCGCCGACUCCUCCCUAGAGUCGGGUUGCUUGGGAGUGCAGCCCAAAGUGUGAGGUAAACUCCUCAUAAGCCUAAAUAUUACCCCGAGACCGAUAGCAAACAAGUACCGUGAGGGAAGAUUGAAAAGAACUUUGAAGAGAGAGUUCAACAGUACGUGAAACUGUGUGGUGGUAAACAGAGGGGUUCUCGAAGUUUCUACGGGGAACUCAGCCUUGGUGACGUGUGGACCUGUUGUAUCCGAUCAGAAAUGACUGUGCAGCUUUUCCGGCAUGUCUCUCGGGUGCAUUUCCCCCGUAGUUUACAGCAGGAACUGUUUGGAGCGCACCGAAGGCCCUGGGUGAAGUUGUUGGUUCUGCCGGCAGCCCCGGGUGUCCUGGCUGUGCACCAGACAGGUACGUGAGAGGACUCGUAUAGCGAGCAAUGCUCUGU